AUUGCACAGCAGUCAGGAACAACCAUAGUCGUGAUUUGUUUCUUCACCUCCGCUUUGUCCCAUUGCGCUGCCACUAUACUACUCGACUAGCCCCAAUGCUCCACGCAGAGCCUCCAUCCGGCGGUGCCGACCGCGGCUACUCCCUUAACUACCAGGACCACCCUCUUCCAUCAGCCUGCUGUCGCGAAGGAGAUGUCAUUGCUUUGAGGGGCUGCUGCUGUGAAGGGUUGCUGUCAUUGCGGUGAUGUAGAAGGUUUGUCGUGGUGACAAAGAGUUGUUGUAGCCCUCGAGUUAUUAAUUCUCUCUCUCUCUCUCUCUCUCUCUCUCUCUCACACACGCACACACACACACACGCACACAUUCAGUUUUGUAACUAUGAAAUUGGUUUAGCGAAAUAAAACUUCAGAAAUUGAUUUAACAA